rnacentral:rRNA from 1 species
AUUGAACGCUGGCGGCAUGCCUUACACAUGCCAGUCGAACGGUAACAGGUCUUCGGAUGCUGACGAGUGGCGCACGGGGGAGUAAUACACCGGAACGUGCCCGAUCGAGGGGGGUAACGAAGCGAAAGCCUUGCUAAUAUCGCAUACGAUCUACGGAUGAAAGCGGGGGAUCUUCGGACCUCGCGCGCACGGAGCGGCCGAUGGCUGAUUAGGUAGUUGGUGGGAUAAAAGCUUACCAAGCCGACGAUCUGUAGCUGGUCUGAGAGGAUGAUCAGCCACACUGGGACUGAGACACGGCCCAGACUCCUACGGGAGGCAGCAGUGGGGAAUAUUGGACAAUGGGCGCAAGCCUGAUCCAGCCAUGCCGCGUGCAGGAUGAAGGCCUUCGGGUUGUAAACUGCUUUUGUACGGAACGAAAAGGAGCCUGCUAAUAAAGGGCGCUCAUGACGGUACCGAAAGAAUAAGCACCGGCUAACUACGUG